CAUUCACGGAGAGUUUGAUCCUGGCUCAGGACGAACGCUGGCGGCGUGCUUAACACAUGCAAGUCGAACGAUGA
rnacentral:rRNA from 4 species